GCAGGCGAGGGGCCGCCACGAGGUGCAGGGUCGUCUGGACGGGGACCCGGGGGCAGACGAUGGCCGGGAUCCUCUUCCGUCUAACCCUCCGCGUCCUGACCGGGCCCUGGGCGGAAGGGAUGUCUGCGCCGCUGGGAAGCAGUGCAAUGAUGAAAGGGCAUCGGUCAGGUCCAGCCUGCUACCCUGGGAGGGGGAAAGGGAGCUUGCUGCCUCACUCCACUUUCCAGUUGAGAAGGUUGAGGUGCCCAGAGGGUAAGUGUUUCCACUGAUUAGGCACAGAUGUGAAGCUGGACUGGACCCUCCAUCAGAGGAUCAGGUGGGUGCAGAGCUGGAGAAUCAUCCCUAAACUCUCCAUCCUGUCAUGGCUGGACAGGUGCAGGAGCAG
rnacentral:lncRNA from 1 species